UACGAAGGGGGCUAGCGUUGCUCGGAAUUACUGGGCGUAAAGGGCGCGUAGGCGGACAGUUUAGUCAGAGGUGAAAGCCCAGGGCUCAACCUUGGAAUUGCCUUUGAUACUGGCUGUCUUGAGUUCGGGAGAGGUGAGUGGAAUGCCGAGUGUAGAGGUGAAAUUCGUAGAGAUCCGGAGGAACACCAAAGGCGAAGGCAGUGUCCUGGGGAGUACCUGACGCUCAGGUGCGAAAGCCAGGGGAGCGAACGGG
rnacentral:rRNA from 1 species